rnacentral:rRNA from 1 species
GGGGAAUUUUCCGCAAUGGGCGAAAGCCUGACGGAGCAACGCCGCGUGAGGGAUGAAGGCCUCUGGGCUGUAAACCUCUNUUUAUCAAGGAAGANAGAUCUGACGGUACUUGAUGAAUAAGCCACGGCUAAUUCCGUGCCAGCAGCCGCGGUAAUACGGGAGUGGCAAGCGUUAUCCGGAAUUAUUGGGCGUAAAGCGUCCGCAGGCGGCCCUUCAAGUCUGCUGUUAAAAAGUGGAGCUUAACUCCAUCAUGGCAGUGGAAACUGUUGGGCUUGAGUGUGGUAGGGGCAGAGNGGAAUUCCCGGUGUAGCGGUGAAAUGCGUAGAUAUCGGGAAGAACACCAGUGGCGAAGGCGNCUCUGCUGGGCCAU